AUUGAACGCUGGCGGUAGGCUUAACACAUGCAAGUCGUGCGAGAAAGUAUCUUCGGAUAUGAGUAGAGCGGCGGACGGGUGAGUAACGCGUAGGAAUCUACCUAGUAGAAGGGGAUAGCCCGGGGAAACUCGGAUUAAUACCGUAUACCUCCUUCGGGAGAAAGAAGGCCUCUCUUUGAAGCUUUCGCUAUUAGAUGAGCCUGCGUAAGAUUAGCUUGUUGGUGAGGUAAAGGCUCACCAAGGCUACGAUCUUUAGCUGGUCUGAGAGGACGAUCAGCCACAUUGGGACUGAGACACGGCCCAGACUCCUACGGGAGGCAGCAGUGGGGAAUAUUGGACAAUGGGCGCAAGCCUGAUCCAGCCAUACCGCGUGUGUGAAGAAGGCCUUCGGGUUGUAAAGCACUUUAAGCAGGGAGAAAAAGUUAUAGGUUAAUACCCUAUGACCCUGAUGUUACCUGCAGAAUAAGCACCGGCUAAUUCCGUGCCAGCAGCCGCGGUAAUACGGAAGGUGCAAGCGUUAAUCGGAAUUACUGGGCGUAAAGCGCGCGUAGGUGGUUUGUUAAGUUGGAUGUGAAAGCCCUGGGCUCAACCUAGGAACUGCAUCCAAAACUAACUCACUAGAGUACGAUAGAGGGAGGUAGAAUUCAUAGUGUAGCGGUGGAAUGCGUAGAUAUUAUGAAGAAUACCAGUGGCGAAGGCGGCCUCCUGGAUCUGUACUGACACUGAGGUGCGAAAGCGUGAGUAGCGAACAGGAUUAGAUACCCUGGUAGUCCACGCCGUAAA
rnacentral:rRNA from 1 species